GGAGUUUGGACCGUGUCUCAGUUCCAAUGUGGGGGACCUUCCUCUCAGAACCCCUACCGAUCGAAGGCUUGGUGGGCCGUUACCCCGCCAACUACCUAAUCGGACGCAUCCCCAUCCAUGGCCGAUGAAAUCUUUAGUCCUCAUUAGAUGUCUGCAAAGGACCCCAUAGGGCAUUAAUCCGCUUUUCAGCGGGCUAUUCCCUGGCCGUGGGCAGGUUGGAUACGCGUUACUCACCCGUGCGCCGGUCGCCAUCUAUCAAAGCAAGCUCCGAUAAUGAUGCCCCUCGACUUGCAUGUGUUAAGCCUGUAGCUAGCGUUCAUC
rnacentral:rRNA from 1 species